UCUUUCUGCAGGAAUUAAUUAUCCCUUUCCACAAAGCUGCAAAGAGGUCAAAGAAAGAUUUAACCAAAUCGUACAAGCUAUUCCAGUUGAAAGAAUUCGGCGAAUCAGGCUGCCCUGCUAACAAUGGCCCCUUUGUUCCUGUAAUGUACGACACGGGGAACGCUACAUUCAACCAGAAGCUGUACGGACCCCACGCCGUAGGCAACACUGAACCCGGAUACAUCGUGUUCCGAGCCACUAACUUGGCCGAGAACCCAACUGCGAUCUGCUUAGGGGUCAAACCGAAAGACUGUAAUCCGGAACGCGUGAGCAUGAAAUCUGUUCUGUUCACACAGAAAUUAAAACUUGACUCUA